rnacentral:rRNA from 1 species
UACGGGGGGGGCAAGCGUUGUUCGGAAUUACUGGGCGUAAAGGGCUCGUAGGCGGCCAACUAAGUCAUACGUGAAAUCCCUCGGCUUAACCGGGGAACUGCGUCUGAUACUGGAUGGCUUGAGUUCGGGAGAGGGAUGCGGGAUUCCAGGUGUAGCGGUGAAAUGCGUAGAUAUCUGGAGGAACACCGGUGGCGAAGGCGGCAUCCUGGACCAACACUGACGCUGAGGAGCGAAAGCCAGGGGAGCAAACGGG